UACGUAGGUGGCAAGCGUUGUCCGGAAUUAUUGGGCGUAAAGCGCGCGCAGGCGGUUCUUUAAGUCUGAUGUGAAAGCCCACGGCUCAACCGUGGAGGGUCAUUGAAAACUGGAGAACUUGAGUACAGAAGAGGAAAGCGGAAUUCCACGUGUAGCGGUGAAAUGCGUAGAGAUGUGGAGGAACACCAGUGGCGAAGGCGGCUUUCUGGUCUGUAACUGACGCUGAGGCGCGAAAGCGUGGGGAGCAAACAGG
rnacentral:rRNA from 1 species